rnacentral:rRNA from 1 species
GACGAACCGUCCAAACGUUAUUCGGAAUCACUGGGCUUACAGAGUUCGUAGGCGGUCUGGAAAGUUGGGUGUGAAAUCCCUCGGCUCAACCGAGGAACUGCGCUCAAAACUACCCGACUCGAGGGAGAUAGAGGAAAGCGGAACUGAUGGUGGAGCGGUGAAAUGCGUUGAUAUCAUCAGGAACACCUGCGGCGAAGGCGGGUUGCUGGGCUGAUACUGACGCUGAGGCGCGAAAGCCAGGGGAGCGAACGGG